UGUAAACUGUAGCUUAAUACUACAGGAUAAUCUUGUAGGCAUCAACUCAACCAAUCACAACAAUGAUGCUUCAGUCAAUGACAGGCUACCAAAGAAUCACAUGAUGGGACCAGCUGCCUAUAGCCAAUUGGGCUAGCUGUUCUGAACUGUUUGCUGCUCUUUGGCAGUUUAACUGCCCAGUCUGUGGUGCUGCUGGAUGGAGAAGAGGUCUGCCCUUGUUAAUCUAACUGCUGUCAGGUGUCCUACACUUGUUCUCACUUGGGAGGAAUAUAGAAGAGGUUGACGUCCAUGGUCCUGUGCAUACAUUGUCAGCUUUCCAGUCAGGAAGCUUUGAAUUAAACAGUGCUGGUCCAUGAUGUGCAACACUGCAUAUCCUCUACUGCAGGUCCAAAACUAUGGGGCCAGGGAACCAUGGACUACAAUCCCAGCAACUGCAAAUUUUGACCAGGCCACACAAGAUGUGAGGAAGCUGAAAAGCAGACCGAAAGAUGAAGAACUCAAAGAAAUCUACGGGCUCUACAAACAGUCCAUCAUCGGAGACAUCAACAUGGGUGGUACCUGAUGCUUGUUUUAGACAAAUAGAUGUACUUGUUCACAGUGUUUGUAGAAGUGCACAGUGAAAAGUAACAUUGCAACUCUCUCCUCUUGGCAGCAUGUCCAGUAAUGUUAGAUAUGAAGGGCAAGGCCAACUGGGAAGCGUGGAGCCUCCAGAAAGAUUUUUAAUUCUUAAAUAGGUUAACACAAACCUUCUUAAUCUCCGUCCACACGAGUCAGUAAGAUAACGUGUUUGUAUCUCUCUCGGGUGGUCGAAGGAAGAUGCAAUGAGGGCCUAUAUUUCUAAAGCAAGAGAGCUGAUCGAGAAAUACGGAAUUUAGAACUUGACAGGGGAGACAGAUCUCCUUUGAAUGCCUUCAUAAUAGCAACGUGGUGUAUAGGGGGAAAUGCAUUGACAACUGUAUAAAUCAUAUGUAUUUUCCUAUUAGCAUGGAUUCUAAUAUUCUAAUAUUUUGGAAUAUGUCAAUAUAAUUACCUAAUUUUGCUUGCUUGUGCAAGGUCACUUUAAAAAGUCAUUUUGUAGUCUAUGUAUAAGCGUUAAUAUGUUUCCUUUUUGCAUAUGUCUGUGUAUGAGUGUUCAUAUGUGUGUGUUACACAUUAUGUAUGCACACAUGUGGAGGCCAGAGAAUAACCUUGGCUGUUUUUUCUAAGAUAUGGUAUUUGCUUCCUGUGAGGCAGGGUCUCUCCUUGCUUGGAGCUCAACAAGUAUGCUAGACUGACUGCCCCAGAGAUCUCUUCCCCCUGCAUCCCCAGGACUGGGAUUACAAUGUGCUCCAUCAUGCUUGGCAAUCUGGGGCUUGAACUCGGGUCCUCGGGUUUACAGGCAAGCACUUUACUGACUGAACCAUCAAGGCUCAGUGUUUGUUUUCUUGACUUAAUCUGUUCUUAUACGAUGAGUUAGUGCUACUGGGCAAAAAGAAAAGUUUGUUCAGAAUGAGUGGCAGCCAGACCACUGUGAAUGCUUCAGGAAGCGGAGCCAGGAGGGUCAUGGGUUUAAGGACAGCCUAGACUACACGAGACCCUGUCCCAAAACAGGAAAGCCUAAGACUGAAGGAAAUUGUGAGUAGGUUGGAGAAACAGAACGGUUCAGUUCCUUUGCUGCACCAUGUACUGCGGACUCCCAUGAAUGUGGGCACUCUGGAGUGACAAGUGGAAUUGCAUCCAGGCCACUUCCUGGCUUCCUAUAUGAUAUGGAGAAAUUAACUAACCAGGCUGUGGUUUGGCUGCCCAUGGAAGGGCUCUGAGUGCCAGCCAAUCACUGCCAGGGCAGUGUGUUGUAAGCACCCCGAGGUCUUCCUUUCAUGAUGGGCAGUAAUUGUUUAGUAAUAUAUUUUGAUUUUAAAAAAGGCAAGUGCUCUUUCUUAUGCAGUAGGGCUAAUGUAUAUUUCUAUAGAUUCUAUAGAUUAGAUUACACUUUGAGUCACAGUGUGGUGAUGGAGAAAUGAUCAUUUCCCUCUGUCAAUCACUCUUGCCCCUAGAAUAGUGCAAGAGACUUCAGGUGUAACCCCACCUGAAGACACUUUGUUGAUAAAACUUUAUAUAAAAGUCACUCAAAUUAGAUUCUAAUAAAAAUGUAAAGGACACUAGCAGAAGUUUUCUUCCUCUAACAAUAUUUUUAUUUAUCCUUUGAAAUUUUCCUAAAUGCAUACAUGUGUUUUGAUCAUAUCCACCCCUCUCUUGCCUUUCCAACUCGCCCCUGACGGAUGUCCUCCAAUGUGUGCCCCUCCCAAUUCUAUGCCGCCCUUCUCAUCUUUUUAAACAGCGCACUGAGUCCAGUUUGUGCUGCCUGCUGUGUCAGGAGGGUGCACAUGGAGCAGAGAUGCUCCAUGAAGAAAUCCAUCAAUAUGCAUCUUUCCAGUGUCUGGAAACUAAAGCGCUGCAUCUCCAGGAGCUAGAGGCACAGCCUGUGGUGGGUUUCCAUGUUUGAAGGCCCCUCUAAGAGCAAGCGAGUAACGACACUUCCAAACACUUGGUUCUAUAGUUCUUGAUGAAGUUCUCAUUCUCAGGUUCCAACAGAUAAAAGUGGUCACCUGGCAGCAUGUGGCUGUCAACCUUCCCGCUGGUUAUGUCUUCCCAACCUAAGAAAUACACAGCGUUUUAUGUAGUAACAGAGGGCAUCAGCCAAGGACAGCAAACCUACUUCUGGUACUAAUUCACUAACAGCUGACAGUGAUAGAGUUACAUCCAGGGUCUCAGGUUCUGUUUAUCCCGUGUUUUUAAUCCCUUUAAGACCUACCAGUAUUCAGUCAUGUGAGCCAUAACUUAAAUUUUACAGGAGACCAACAUCUCUUUCUUUACACACAGGAAAACUUGGGCUGAUUUUCUGUCCGUUUCAGUGACUGUUAGCUGACAUAUACCAAGAACCCUCCAACAUAUCUUUCAAGAAAAUACCCCGAAUUAUAAAAGCAAUUUCACCUUUUAUGUCCUUGACCAUAUCUUCAGAUCCGAAAAAGCAUGUUAUGUCCUGAGAAAGAAGAGCCUCCGAGGGCGUGUCAAAGCUGUCAAUGUGAAAAGGCUAUUCAUAAUUUCAUCUUUAACAUCCCAGUCUGCUCCUCCUCCUGACCUCACUGAAAUGAAACAGGUUCUAUUCCAGGACAUAAGACUCUUGCAAUCUCUGCAGGUGCCUUCCAAACUCGGAUCCAUGCCUAUAGCGGUUGCCAAGAUGCCAGCCAUGUGGAAAGCAAGUUCCAAAAUGGUUGACUUGGUGUUCAAGUUGCUCUGUUUCUUAGAGGAACUGAACCUUGUAGCAUGAGUGUGGCCUUCCUGUCCAAGAGCUGUAGCCAUCGGUGCACUGCAAGCUGAAGAAGCUUCUACACUGUCUGUGGGUUGGGUCAGUCACCAGAACCUUAGGCCUCACCAGACAAAGCUGUACUAGAAUUGAGGGAGCACCUGUGAUUGACCAUAAGUAUGCUAACCAAAUAUGAAGCAAUCCUCCCAGACAACCAGAGGUGACUAUUAAAGCCUGAGGAAUGCUAAUGUCUGCCCCCUUGUUUCCCAUGGUAACUUCUUCCAAUUUGGAAUAUUUGUGUGGUGAGAUCAUUUCUCCCAUAGGUUUCACCUAAGUAACCAGACCCUGCAUAACACAGAGACACUGUUUGCUGGUGGAAGUGGUCCUGUUCUAAGUGGAGCGUAUGAAGCUCUCCCAGAAGAGAGAGGUCAGCCAAAAGGAGAAAUUGAGAGCUGGGUGUUGUUGUUGUACGCCUUUAAUCCCAGCACUUAGGAAGCAGAAGCAAGCAGAUCUCUGCUGAGUUCAAGGUCUGCUUGGUCUAUAAAGCUAGUGCCAGGACAACCAGGGCUGUUACACAAUGAAACCCUGUCUCAACAAAACAAAACAAAACAAAAAAAGUAAUUGAAACUAAUUGAAACCUCCCUACUACCUCUUUCCGUCUCCAUCUAAAAGACUGACUUUGCAUAAUCCUGAUAAGAUUCUUUUGAGGGAAGGAAAAUUAUUUACACUACAUUGGCUCAAAAUGUGCAUUCACCAGCAGGAAAAAUGGGUAAAGGUGCCAUGAAGCCUGUUGACCUGAGUUCAAUUCCUAGAACCCAGGCAAUGGAAAGAGGCCACUGACUCUUGCAAGUUAUCCUCUGACCACUAUGGCACAUGUGCAGACACACACACAUGCAAAUUAAUAUUUUUGUCAAGAAUGGCCGUGAUGCUAUCUGGAAGAAUCAAGAAUUGUUAAUGGUCAGCAAUUCACCCAUAAGACAUAAACAAGAUAUUGUAAGUAUAUGGACAGCAUCCAAAUCCCCAAUUAAGUGAUAAUCAUCUACUUCAAGGGCCAUCAGAAGGAUAUGCCUGAUGGUGCCCAAGAAAAUAGACCGGCAAACAGUGAAACAGAAAAAAAGGCAGUCUUAGCUGGGCUAAGCACUUGGGAACAGGAAGGCUAACAGAUCUGUGAAUUCAAGGUCAACCUAGUCUACAUAGAGAGUUCUAGGACAGCCAGAACUACAUAGUGAGACCCUGCCUCAAAAAAUAAAAUGAAGUCUUCCAAGUCCUUUGACUGUUUACUCCUGGAGAAGGAAUGGGCUCAAGAUCAAGGGGACAUCCAACCAAAGUGCUCAUUAGUCUUUGUUGAUAAUAAAGUACUGUUACCCCUGUAGGGUAGAAUGGCCAGCCAAACAAACACACCCUGACCUAGAACUAGAGCCAUCCAAACAAACACACCCCACCCCUAAAACCAGAGCCAAAGAAAUAUACAUUGACCUGAAACCAGAGCCAGGGAAAGAAAUGCACCAUGGUCCUGAAACUAGAGGCAAAAAGUUAAAAAAGGGCCAGUGAAAGAAACACACUUUGGUCCUGAAACCAGAACCAAAGAAACAUACUCUGCCCUUGACCAAUGAGCACAAAACCAACCAGUCCCUGAGCAGGAAAACCAACCAACUCCUGAGCAUGAAAUCCAGACAAUUUCUGAGCUUGUCCAAGCUCAGGGAUUGAAAUCUGACCUGAAAAUCUCCCUGGAAAAACUCUGCCCCUAAGAAGCCCUAUAUAAGCCCUGUGCCUGUUCAGUUGGCAGCUGCCCUUUUCUACCCUGGCAGAGGCAGCCAUUCUCCUGGAUUCCUCCUUCCCAAUAAAUCUCUUGAAUGAAUUUUGGGUGGAGAUCUUCUUUUGCCAGAACAGAGCAGAGAAGCAACAGACAUCUCUGCUGGGAAACAUUGUUAGCAGAGUGGAGGAGAGCUGAGCUGUAAAGGCUCUCUAAGAGAGGAGCAGGCUUGCCACAUCCUGCCGGGAGCUCACCCCCCACAGAAGCACUGUAGGUAUAGUCUGACUUCCCAACAGGACACUUUUCCCUUCACAGCUGUAGAUACAGUCUGGCAUGCAGCAGUCGUAUAUAGAGCUGUAGGUAUCCAGGACACCAUCCCUUCACCGCCGGAGGUAUGGCCCAACUUCCAACAGUCGGGAUACCUUUCCCUCCAGAGCUGUAACACAUGCGAUCCCAAGUCCUACAAUGGAAAAUAAUUAAGGAACACAAGACUCAUUUCACGUGGGAAAAGACAUCACUCUAAGUGUUAUCUCAACUGUUCUUCCAACAAGAUUGACUGGCACGGUGAAAAAUGUAUGUCAGGGUCAAGCCUGUAUACCCUGCUUACAGAACAGCUCCGGUCACCCUACUCCUCCACCAAGCCUUGAGCCAGAUCAGGGGAAAUGCACCUUGCCGCAUGAGGAUUGGCAGGUAGACUUUACUCAUAUGCCCUCUUGUGCCAGCUUCAAGUUGGUGUUGGUAGACGCCGGGACUGGCUGGAUCCAGGCUGAGAAGGUGACUACAGUGGCAAGGGCUACCCUAAAAGGAAUUAUACCAGGGUCUGACCUCACCCACUCGUCCCAGGGAGACAGUGGAUCGUCAUUUACUUCACAGGGAACUCAGUCUAUAUCUAGAGCUCUGGGAAGAAAUACUAUCUGCACUCUGCUCAGAGAGCACUGUCUUCAGGCAAAACUGAAAUGACUAACCAAACCAUUAAAUAGGUUCUAGGGAAGCUUUGCCAGGAAUUCUCUGAGGAUUACCUAUCACCCUCAUGAGAGUUAAAACAGCUCCAGUGUCUAAUGCUGGGAUCAGACCGUAGAGUUACUGUAAAGCAGGCCCUUUGUCAUCUGACCAGGUAGAGAACAGACCUAAGACAAACCCAACAAGCCCUAUACAAAAAUGGAAACAAGGUUAUACUCAAACCAAACGGUGGAACCUGAAAGACUGUGAACCCUAGAGACUGGGUUCCUCCUUAAAACCUAGAAAGAUGGACCCGCAGAAUAGUUGGGUCCUCAAUUGAAUGGACCUUUCCAAGUGGUCCUAAGUGCCCUCCAUAGUUAGCAAACUGCUGGCAAUUGACAGCUGUGUUCCAACCCCUCCAGAGUAGUCCUAAAGGAUACCCUGCCCCUGAAGACCCAGAAGAGAACAGCUACACCUGUGCACUCCUGAAAGCUCUUGAACUUCCCUUGACAAAACAAUGUAACCUCCUGACUGCUGGCUGGGGCUGUUCUGAAACCUGUCCUGCUCUGGCUCUUCAUGUUUCUCUCUCCUGGAACCAGAGUCCUGCACUUAACCACGGAGAGUCAUGUGCUCACGGAAGAAUGGAACCUUUUCUCCUUCUCAAAGCAAAACAUCACCCCUGAUGAUGUUUCUCCUGCUUUUGCCGUCUUCUUUGCUCUUUUGAGGAAUAAGCAUCUGCUGGCUCCCAUCUUAAACAGGGUGUUGACCUGUUUAAAUCCUACCAAAUCCUCUAAUUGUUGACUUUUUCUUAAGUUGCAUCAACUUCACAAGGGAUAACCACCCUUGAGAGUCUUCCAAUGUUGUAUGGGAAAUUGUCCACACUACAACCCCGUAUGGAGGUCUUAAACAGACCCUAUAUAGACCCUAUAUAAGGAGAACCUUAUGAAUGUGGUGAGAGUGGUCCCAGAUGGAAGGAUUCAACUGGAAGGCUGCUCCCUUAGGACACAUCUUCAAGUCAGAAGGCUACAUGAACUUACUUUUUAAAAAAAGUUUCCUAAUUUGAAUGGAACUGGCUCAUUUGUAGAUACUUGAAAAAGUUUCCCUGCCCAGUUCCAGUGUGCAAUUUAUAUGAGAAUAAGAAUGACCUGACUCUCUCAAAGGCUGGAUACAGCAAAUGCAUCCAUGGAUAUACACUGCCCAGAUGAGUACCUUGGUUCAAUAAAGUAUCUUUGACAAUGAUGGGUGGAAAGCUGUAAUACUUUUGGGUCCCAUUACAUAUGAGGCAGAAGAUGGGGUGGUUUUCUCCAUGAACUGCCAGACUGUACACAUCAGUGAAGGGAGGGGAGCCCCUGAUCCUCAAGGAAACACUGUACAUUGAUGGGUAGGUAAAGGGAAACCCCUUGCAGUGGAGUGCAUUAACCUACCUUCCAAAGACAGGGAAUGUCUGCAAUGAUAAAAGCUAAGGUUCCAGCAGUCAGUGGGCCAAAUUCCAAUCAAUACGGAUCUUAAUAACAAGGGCAGAAAAUCCUAAUUCAAUGCAUUGACAGUGGGUCAUUUCCAAGAGUCCUACACUGUAGCUUCCUCAGUGGCAGACUCAAAGAUGGGUGGGGCAGGAUUUGUGGAAACACUUGGUGUUCUACGGCUUACCAAUCCUUAGUCACCUAAAUGCGACAAAGUUGAUCAAGUUGCCAAGAUCAAAUGGUUUGAAGAAUUCUACCUGAAGAUGUAGCCUCCUAGCUGCAAAGCUGAAUUUAACACAGAAGCUAGAGAACCACGUGGGCUGGCGCUCUGCAUCAGGGGUUCACGUCAGUGUGAUAGCCAUCACAUGCUCUUGCCAGCAAUGUGUGCUCAGGAGUACUCAAAGUGCCAUUGGGAGAGGGAAUCCACCCUUUUGGAGAUGGCAGAGAGACCACGCCAAUCCUGUACCAAGCUCAGGGAAAGAUGCUUUGGCAGAUUCUGACAUGACACUGCCACCAGACGUCAAAUGUUUGUCAUGAUUUUCCCAGUAAAGAGCCACCUAGAAGAUGACAAAACCAGAACUUACCAGGUUGAACUUGAGGUAUAAACCCCCUCAGAUAGGAGAAAGUGACCAAAGUACCUACUUCACAAGACAUGAAGGAUAACAGUGAGCUAAUAAAUGACUGAGACAAACUUCAGAUCUUCUACCUGCAGGACUCACCCAGGGGAGAAUUAAUGCAGGCUUUACAGACCCACUCCUACUCUAUGUAAGGUGGACUAUGACUUGGGAAGUCUCCAUAGAAACGCUUCAAAAAGACAAGCUAGUGGCAAUGCCACCGUCAGCCACCUACAGUUCCCUGCUCUAAAACUACGAAUUAAAAAGGACAGACCCCUCGAGCCAAAGCAGAGACAUGACAGCAAUUCAUCGUGUAUGGAUACAGCCAAUAGAACAGUAGACACAGGAUGCCUGAUGCGGCCCUGGGAAGCCUGAAUGAGCCCUGGAUAGUUCACACUAUCAACUCCGCAAGGGGAAGACCAGGUGAGACAUUUACAUUUAACUGUCCUCUACCAUGUUGUGAACAUGGUCUAGCAAGAUUUAGGCAUUUGGGAGGGAAUUAUUCCUAAAGAGACAUACAUAAUAAUACGACAGUGACACCUUCCUAUGGUAUCCUUUCCCUUUCCGUCCCCUAAUAAAUUUAACCGUGCUUUUCUUGUGUGAUGAAUGAUAUAGCUGCUGUAGCAACCAGAUAUAGUGCCUGGUGCUUUUUCUCAGGGACAAAUGGAAGAUUCAG